AAACUUAUUGAAUUUGAAUAUUCGAAAAAAUGAAUAUCAUGUUGAGACUAUAAAAGAAGGGAAUCAAGAAUUCCUUCAAAUUACAAAGGCAAUAUCGGGAAAGAAAUAUGCGAUGGAAAAAUUCCAUGCUCUUCCCUCUGGAUUAUAUUGCACAAAAAUAAGUGCAAUCGAAGCCAAUCUUAUAGUAAACUAAAGGUUUACUGAUUUAAAUGAUUUUAAGAUUUGGCACGACCGAUU